rnacentral:rRNA from 1 species
UGAGUACGAGAUGCUACGGCAUCGAAGCAGUCUAUGUCAUACUUCCAAGAAAAGCUUGCACUGUCAUAAACAAAGAAUGCCUGUACCAUAACCGACACAGGUGGGUAGGUAGAGUAUACUAAGGGGCGCGAGAUAACUCUCUCUAAGGAACUCGGCAAAAUGACUCCGUAACUUCGGGAGAAGGAGUGCCUUAUUUCUAAGGUUGCAAUGACAAGAUCCAAGCAACUGUUUACCAAAAACACAGGUCUCCGCUAAGUCGUAAGACGAUGUAUGGGGGCUGACGCCUGCCCAGUGCCAGAAGGUUAAAGAAGUUGGUUAGCAUUAGCGAAGCUGAUAACUGAAGCCCUGGUGAACGGCGGCCGUAACUAUGACGGUCCUAAGGUAGCGAAAUUCCUUGUCGGGUAAGUUCCGACCCGCACGAAAGGCGUAAUGAUUUGGAUACUGUCUCGGAGAGGGGCUCGGUGAAAUAGACUUGUCUGUGAAGAUGCGGACUACCUGCACCUGGACAGAAAGACCCUAUGAAGCUUUACUGUAACUUGAGAUUGAAAUUGGACUUUAUUUGCGCAGUAUAGGUGGGAGGCGUUGAGAAUAAUCUUGCGGGAUAGUUGGAGCCAUCAGUGAGAUACCACUCUUGUAAUGUUAGAUUUCUAACUUUGUAUCAUUAUCUGGUCAAAGAACAGUUUCAGGCGGGCAGUUUGACUGGGGCGGUCGCCUCCCAAAGGGUAACGGAGGCGCACAAAGGUUUCCUCUGAACGGGUAGAAAUCGUAUCUAGAGUGUAAAGGCAUAAGGAAGCUUGACUGUGAGACCUACAAGUCGAGCAGGGACGAAAGUCGGUCUUAGUGAUCUGACGGUGCUGAGUGGAAAGGCCGUCACUCAACGGAUAAAAGUUACUCUAGGAUAACAGGCUGAUCUCCCCCAAGAGUUCACAUCGACGGGGAGGUUUGGCACCUCGAUGUCGGCUCAUCGCAUCCUGGGGCGGUAGUCCGUCCCAAGGGUUGGGCUGUUCGCCCAUGAAAGCGGUACGCGAGCUGGGUUCAGAACGUCGUGAGACAGUUCGGUCCAUAUCCGGUGUAGGCGUUAGAAUAUUGAGAGGAGCCUUCUCUAGUACGAGAGGACCGAGAAGGACAUACCUCUGGUGUACCAGUUAUCGUGCCAACGGUAAACGCUGGGUAGCUAUGUAUGGAGUGGAUAACCGCUGAAAGCAUCUAAGUGGGAAGCCCACCUCAAGAUAAGUAUUCUCACC